UGAACUAAUACUAACCUGAAAUUUUUCUAAAUUUGUGUUCCUUGCAUAAACUUGAGCUUCUAUUAUUGUCAAAGAUUAGUGCUUGACAGGAUGGUGGUGAUGUUCUUGUUGAGAGGGAUGAGUGCAGGGGAAAAGGAGGGGCACCGGGAUUCAAGGUAGCAAUCUUGGGUGCUGCUGGUGCAAUUGGCCAAUCUCUAUCUUUGCUGAUGUCUCAGGACAAACCUCCUAUGUACUAAGUUAGCAAAUAAUUAUUAUACAUGAUGAUGGAGCCAGAUUAUUAACCAAUUCCGUGAAUAGUUGAGGACUUAGCAGACCCCAUUGAUUGAGGCCCUUGUUAUAAACUUUACACAAAAUUCUUCUAUGAGUUCACUGUCAAACCAAGACUUCGGAGGGUGGCAUAUUUGUGACACAGGUACUAUAAGACCAAUGUCCAUAAUAUUCAGGUUAACCGAGGUCUUUUCAUCUAUCUACAAUACAUUGAGACAGGUUUUUAAGUGCUUCAGAUUUUUCAUUAAAGCUGAAUGCAGAAGAGAUAGACUUGAGAAUAAAACAAAGGAUUAAGGGGCAAAGCAGUCUCCAGCUAGAACAAGCUAAAACAGUCUUCAGAUUUUCCACAAUUUUCUUUAUAUAGAUUGGAGGAAAAAAUUUUCAAUUCAGAGUCAAAAAAUCAAGUUCUUUGCCAGCAAGCAUUGGCUGUAUCACCGACUGGAAAAGCUUGGACUACAAGAUUAAUACCUGAGAUAUUACUUCUACUUCAACAACUGACACAUAAUUUGAUUAUACUUUUAACUUUAUUGUUCCAAUUCAUGUGAGUAAUUUAGUUUUAUAAAGUAAUUAGAUUAAUUUGAUGAAUGAAGUUGUAUGAGAGUGGAAUGAUGUAAAUGAUAUCCAUUAUAUGAUGUAAAUGAUAUUCAUUACUUCUGCUUCAA